rnacentral:misc_RNA from 1 species
AUAGUCGUAGAAUGGGAUUCUAGCUAUUACAUCGCCAUGUCGUAAAAAAGCAUGGUUAGGUACUAAGAUUUAAUAUAAUCGAUGAUACUGCUAAUGAUUUCAUCCUUUCUGGUAUUUCCGAAUAUCAGUGGGACGCUCGUGCUUAUGCCAGCCUUGCUUUGCUGGUCCGAGUGAAAAAAGGUUAUCCAGUCCCUCAGAGAUAUAUUAUAUUAUCUUAAAAAGUAAUGUAAAUUUAAAUCAUAUUGG